rnacentral:rRNA from 1 species
GGGAACAUACCCUUUUCUACGGAAUAGCUCUGGGAAACUGGAAUUAAUACCGUAUACGCCCUACGGGGGAAAGAUUUAUCGGGGAAGGAUUGGCCCGCGUUGGAUUAGCUAGUUGGUGGGGUAAAGGCCUACCAAGGCGACGAUCCAUAGCUGGUCUGAGAGGAUGAUCAGCCACAUUGGGACUGAGACACGGCCCAAACUCCUACGGGAGGCAGCAGUGGGGAAUAUUGGACAAUGGGCGCAAGCCUGAUCCAGCCAUGCCGCGUGAGUGAUGAAGGCCUUAGGGUUGUAAAGCUCUUUCACCGAUGAAGAUAAUGACGGUAGUCGGAGAAGAAGCCCCGGCUAACUUCGUGCCAGCAGCCGCGGUAAUACGAAGGGGGCUAGCGUUGUUCGGAAUUACUGGGCGUAAAGCGCACGUAGGCGGAUAUUUAAGUCAGGGGCGAAAUCCCAGAGCUCAACUCUGGAACUGCCUUUGAUACUGGGUAUCUUGAGUAUGGAAGAGGUAAGUGGAAUUGCGAGU